rnacentral:lncRNA from 1 species
GCCACAGCAUGGCUUGACAAGCAAUGCCAUGUCCCCACCCGGGAUUCGAACUGGCGAACCCUGGGCCGCCGAAGCGGAAUGUGCACAUUUAAUCGCUACGUCACUGGGCCGCCCCUUGUCAUCAUUUUUAAUGACUGCAUGAUAUUUGAUCAGCUUUGAAGAGGUUGGAGAAAAGGAAGAAGAUAAAAGGGAUUUUCCAGGCCCUGUUUAACUCUGUCCUGCUGAGUGACUGAGUUGGUCAGCAGUUGUCUCCUUCUUGCCUGGUUCCCCAACCAAGAGGCACUGUACUUGAGAAACCAGAUCCAGGGAGCUUUAUCUACACUUGGAUCUGAUUUAGAUGAUGGCAUUCUGGACUUUGAUCUCAUGCUGUAACAGGUCAAGACUUUUGGGGAUCAUGGGAAGGUGGAUGUAUUUUGCAUGUGCAAGAAAUGUAAAUAAUUUGUGACCGGACGGCAGAUGGCAGUGGCUUUCUGAUAUAUCCC